GAAGAAGUAGAAAAUUGGGUCUCUGAAGAGUUUGCCUCAAAACAAGGGAAGUUCUAUUGGGACGGUACCCACAAAUUACCUGGAAGAUGGGGGAAAUGUGUAGCUAGUGAUGGACAUUACUUUGAGUAAAGCACUUUUGAUGUUUCUCUUGAAA